CUUACCAAGGCAAUGAUGCAUAGCCGAGUUGAGAGACUGAUCGGCCACAUUGGGACUGAGACCACGGCCCAAACUCCUACGGGAGGCAGCAGUAGGGGAAUCUUCCACAAUGGACACAAGUCUGAUGGAGCAACGCCGCGUGAGUGUAAGAAGGGUUUCGGCUCGUAAAGCUCUGUUGGUAGUGAAGAAAGAUAGAGGUAGUAACUGGUCCUUUAUUUGACGGUAAUUACUUAGAAAAGUCACGGGCUAACUACGUGCCCAGCAGCCGCGGGUAAAUA
rnacentral:rRNA from 1 species